rnacentral:rRNA from 1 species
UACAGAGGUCUCAACCGUUGUUCGGAUUUAUUGGGCGUAAAGGGUGCGUAGGCGGCGGGGUAAGUCAGGUGUGAAAUCUCGGGGCUCAACCCCGAAACUGCACUUGAUACUGCCUUGCUCGAGUACUGGAGAGGAGACUGGAAUUUACGGUGUAGCGGUGAAAUGCGUAGAUAUCUGGAGGAACACCGGUGGCGAAGGCAGGUCUCUGGGCCACUACUGACGCUGAGAAGCGAAAGCAUGGGGAGCGAACAGG